rnacentral:rRNA from 1 species
AUCCUGCCGGAGGCCAUUGCUAUCGGAGUCCGAUUUAGCCAUGCUAGUCGUGCGAGUUCAGACUCGCGGCACCGAGCUCAGUAACACGUGGCCAAACUACCCUACAGAGACGGAUACCCUCGGGAAACUGAGGUUAACCCGUCAUACCGAUCUCAGGCUUGAAUCGCAGAGAUCACAAAACGCCCCGGCGCUGUAGGAUGUGGCUGCGGUUGAUUAGGUAGACGGUGGGGUAACGGCCCACCGUGCCCAUAAUCAGUACAGGUUGUGAGAGCAAGAACCUGGAGACGGAAUCUGAGACAAGAUACCGGGCCCUACGGGGCGCAGCAGGCGCGAAACCUUUACACUGCACGACAGUGCGAUAGGGGGAUUCCGAGUGCGAGGGCAUACAGUCCUCGCUUUUCUGGACCGUAAGGAGGUCCAAGAAUAAGGGCUGGGCAAGACCGGUGCCAGCCGCCGCGGUAAUACCGGCAGCCCGAGUGAUGGCCGAUAUUAUUGGGCCUAAAGCGUCCGUAGCUGGCCAGACAAGUCCGUUGGGAAAUCCACGCGCUCAACGCGUGGGCGUCCAGCGGAAACUGCCUGGCUUGGGGCCGGAGGACUCGAGGGGUACGUCCGGGGUAGGAGUGAAAUCCCGUAAUCCUGGACGGACCACCGGUGGCGAAAGCGCCUCGAGAGGACGGACCCGACAGUGAGGGACGAAAGCCAGGGUCUCGAACCGGAUUAGAUACCCGGGUAGUCCUGGCCGUAAACGAUGUCUGCUAGGUGUGGCGCAGGCUACGAGCCUGCGCUGUGCCGCAGGGAAGCCGUGAAGCAGACCGCCUGGGAAGUACGUCCGCAAGGAUGAAACUUAAAGGAAUUGGCGGGGGAGCACUACAACCGGAGGAGCCUGCGGUUUAAUUGGACUCAACGCCGGACAUCUCACCGGCACCGACAACAGUAAUGACGGUCAGGUUGAUGACCUUACCCGAGUUGUUGAGAGGAGGUGCAUGGCCGCCGUCAGCUCGUACCGUGAGGCGUCCUGUUAAGUCAGGCAACGAGCGAGACCCGCAUCCCUAGUUGCCAGCAACACCAUUGGUGGUUGGGUACACUAGGGAGACUGCCGCUGCUAAAGCGGAGGAAGGAACGGGCAACGGUAGGUCAGUAUGCCCCGAAUGUGCCGGGCAACACGCGGGCUACAAUGGCCGGGACAAUGGGAAGCUAUCCCGAGAGGGAACGCUAAUCCCCUAAACCCGGUCGUAGUUCGGAUUGAGGGCUGCAACCCGCCCUCAUGAAGCUGGAUUCGGUAGUAGUCGCGCGUCAGUAGCGCGCGGCGAAUACGUCCCUGCUCCUUGUACACACCGCCCGUCA